GAAUUACAAAGGAGAGAAAAGAAGAGUGAGGCAUCACGGAAGAAAAUAAUCUGUGAGGAAAAAUAGAGAGUGUGAGCGGUAUUGUAGUGAGGUGGAAAAAUCAAACGAGUGUUAUUUCUUUUGAAUGUGUAGUGGUCUUUGGGGUUUUACUCAGACAUACAAGUGUAAAAUCCUUACUAUAGUGAUAUUUGUUGCUCCUCUGGGGUCGUGGUUUUUCCCUUAUUUAGGAGGGUUUUCACGUAAAAUCUUGGUGUCAUUAUUUCUCUUUUAUUCUCGUUGGAUUAACCGUAUUGUUGUGUUCCGCAUUUGUUGCCUUUAUUAUUGCAAAUAUUAUUUCUGUUACGGAUUUAUUCCCAACAAUCAUGAACGUAAAUGAAAGCUCAUAACUGUGAGAUUAAUGGAGACUGAGAGAAAAAAAUUUUGUCUUGAAUUUUUUGAAGCAAAAAUACAAUCAGUAGUAGAAGCUAUAUUUAUAAGCUCUGUUUUACACUAACUCGUAACUAAAUAUUCUAACUACCACUAGGACAAGUUGUUAUUCAUCAAAAACUAAACCGCUGCCUUUCAAUGUGAUCUUUUUGAAGUGAAAAGUGACAAUUUAUGUAGUUGAUGAAUCAAUCACUUAAGAAGUAGUUUGUUUUUCGAUUUUGUUGAAGAAUGAAUUAUAUUAAUUUAUUAUUUGUGUAUAGCCUCAUGUGUGUAGAUAAAAUGAAUUCCAGUGAUCCCACUGUUAUGGAAGAUGAUGCCCCUCUUGUGAAUUCUUCAACAGAGGUUGUCGUCAUUCGAUUUGAUAAUGUCUAUCGAAGAAACAGAACCAUUACUGCAAGAAAGGAUCCUAGAAGAAUAGAAGAUUCAUUGCUUGCUAAUCAUGCCACCAUAGAAAAUAAUGAGGGUUCUGACUCUGAGGCGGUAUUGUUUAUCCAUGGUUAGCUCCUUCAAUCAUUGAGAUUGAGAUGAAAUUUGUUCCCGAAAAAGAAAAAAAAAAUGGAUCCUAAGCUU